rnacentral:rRNA from 1 species
CUACGGGAGGCAGCAGUAGGGAAUAUUGCACAAUGGGCGCAAGCCUGAUGCAGCAAUGCCGCGUGAGUGAUGAAGGCCUUCGGGUCGUAAAACUCUUUUCUGAGGGAAGAAUGGCUGGGAUAGGAAAUGAUCUUGGCGUGACGGUACCUCAGGAAUAAGCAACGGCUAACUCCGUGCCAGCAGCCGCGGUAAUACGGAGGUUGCGAGCGUUGUUCGGAAUUACUGGGCGUAAAGGGAGCGCAGGCGGUUUGGUAAGUCUGGAGUGAAAGCACGGGGCUCAACCCCGUCGGGUCUUUGGAUACUGCCGAACUUGAGUACGUGAGAGGAGAGCGGAAUUCCAGGUGUAGCGGUGAAAUGCGUAGAUAUCUGGAGGAACACCGGUGGCGAAGGCGGCUCUCUGGCACGAAACUGACGCUGAGGCUCGAAAGCAUGGGGAGCGAACGGGAUUAGAUACCCCGGUAGG